rnacentral:rRNA from 1 species
AUACGGAGGGGGCUAGCGUUGUUCGGAAUUACUGGGCGUAAAGCGUACGUAGGCGGACUGAUCAGUUGGGGGUGAAAUCCCAGGGCUUAACCCUGGAACUGCCUUCAAUACUGUCAGUCUUGAGUUUGGGAGAGGUGAGUGGAAUUCCUAGUGUAGAGGUGAAAUUCAUAGACAUUAGGAGGAACACCAGUGGCGAAGGCGGCUCACUGGCCCAUUACUGACGCUGAGGUACGAAAGCGUGGGGAGCAAACAGGAUUAGAAACCCUUGUAGUCC